CCUGGCGAGGUUAAGCACUUUAGUUGCGGAGCCGUAGCGAAAGCAAGUCCAAAUAGGGCGAAUAGUCAGUGGGGGUAGACGCGAAACUUUGUGAUCUAUCCAUGGGCAGGUUGAAGGUGUGUAGCACACACUGGAGGACCGAACUCAUGAGCGUUGAAAAGCUCUGAGAUGACCUGUGGAUAGGGGUGAAAGGCCAAUCAAACUGAGAGAUAGCUCGUUCUCCCCGAAAUGUUUUUAGGAACAGCCUCGGAUAAUAGACGUUUAGCACAGGUAGAGCUACUGAUUGGGCUAGGGGGCUUCACCGCCUACCAAACCCUGACAAACUCCGAAUGGUGCUAAAUAUCUCCGGGAGUGAGGCUGCGGGCGAUAAGGUCCGUGGCCGAGAGGGAAAUAACCCAGAUUAGCAACUAAGGUCCCUAAUACAUGGUUAAGUUGAUCAAACGAGGUGGGAUUUCUAUAACAGCCAGGAUGUUGGCUUGGAAGCAGCCACUCAUUUAAAGAGUGCGUAACAGCUCACUGGUCGAGAGAUCCUGCACGGAAAAUAAUCGGGCAUCAAACCAUGAACCGAAGUUCUAAGAUUGCUACUACGUAGUAUAUCGGUAGGGGAGCAUUGAAAUCUGCUGCGAAGGUGACUGGCGAUGGUUGCUGGAGCGAUUUCAAAAGAAAAUGUAGGCAUAAGUAACGAUAAUUAAUGUGAAAAACAUUAACGCCGUAAACCCAAGGUUUCCUGAUCAAUGUUAAUCAGAUCAGGGUUAGUCGGGUCCUUAGGCAAACCCGAAAGGGGUAGCUGAUGGCAAGUUGGUUAAUAUUCCAACACCUGCUUAUACUUCGAUGGGGUGACGGGGUAGUGAAAGAUCCGCGUUCUUACGGAAUAGAACGUUAAAGGGUGUAGAUAUAGGUUGUGUAGGCAAAUCCGCACGACUUGUCGAACCUGAUAGUACAGCAAAGCUUCGGCAGCGCUGAUAGUGAUCCUAAUCAUACCUCCGAGAAAAACCUCUAAGUUAUGGUGUAAGCAGCCCGUACCGUAAACCGACACAGGUGGGUGGGAUGAAUAUUCUAAGGCGCUCGGGUGAGCCGUGGAGAAGGAACUAGGCAAAUUGACGCUGUAACUUCGGGAUAAAGCGUACCGUCUUCGGACGGUCUCAGUAAAAUGGUUCAACCAACUGUUUAGCAAAAACACAGGGCCCUGCAAAAUCGAAAGAUGACGUAUAGAGCCUUAUACCUGCCCGGUGCUGGAAGGUUAAGGAAGGAUGUUCGACGCAAGUCAAAGCUUCUGACUGAAGCCCCAGUAAACGGCGGCCGUAACUAUAACGGUCCUAAGGUAGCGAAAUUCCUUGUCGGGUAGGUUCCGACCUGCACGAAUGGUCUAAUGAGUUGAACACUGUCUCCUCCACGAGCUAAA
rnacentral:rRNA from 1 species